ACAAUGACUAUGGGACUGCUGUUGUGUUUGCUUCAGUGGUGAGCUGGUCUGGCAGCAGUUACAGCCCCACUUUAGCAGCACUGCAUUUGUGCCCUGACUUUCCUGUGCUCCCCAGCUGGUGCUGGUUUUGUGCCUUGCUUUGCCCUGACCUCCUCUUUAAGGGUCUCCGGGGUAGCUCAGGGGUACAUAGCCAUUGCCUGAGAUGAACUGCUUUCCUCACCAAAUAAUUUUCUGUCACUGAGGAGAAAUGACCUCAUUUUCUCAACAUUCAUAAGCCAAGAGGAAACCCAGUUCCAGCUGACCAGCUGAGAUGUUGCCACUUGCAGGGAGUCUUCAAAGGUCUCCAGGCAUCCCUGGUGUGGGGAGUCUCAGUGGCUACAUGGUGCCCUAUAGCAUAGCAUCAGAUGCCAUGGAGAUAGGCAUGGGAUCAAAACCCCACAGGUGGUGCUCUGGGGAGCUGAUGGUGCAGUAUGAAUUUCACAGAAGUGAGAAGAUGUGUCUGGGGGCCAAGAAUUUGUGUUCUCUAUACAGUGACUCUCAAAAAAUGUUAAUACCUGUCUGGUUUUGGUAAGCUGUGGGGGAAAGACUGUUUGCAAGAAACUGUGGGUGCUUUUGACUCCUUUGGAUGUCUGAUAGCAGAA